UUGAAGGAAGGAGCAAUCUGACCUGAUGGUGGCGGCAAAGGGUGCGUAACGCGUAAGUAACUUGCCCCAAGGUAAGGAACAACGUCGAGAAAUCGGCGCUAAUACCUCAUAAUGCAGCGGAUCCGCAUGGAUAUGUUGUUAAAGGUUUACCGCCUUGGGAUAGGCUUGCGUCUGAUUAGCUAGUUGGUGUGGUAAUGGCACACCAAGGCUACGAUCAGUAACUGGUCUGAGAGGAUGAUCAGUCACACUGGAACUGAGACACGGUCCAGACUCCUACGGGAGGCAGCAGUGAGGAAUAUUGGGCAAUGCACGAAAGUGUGACCCAGCAACGCCGCGUGGAGGAUGAAGGUAUUCUAUAUCGUAAACUCCUGUGAGAGCAGACGAAAGACAGAUUAUUAAUUUGGAUGACUGUAUGCUCAGAGGAAGCCCCGGCUAACUACGUG
rnacentral:rRNA from 1 species